rnacentral:rRNA from 1 species
UAGGGAAUCUUCCGCAAUGGGCGAAAGCCUGACGGAGCAACGCCGCGUGAGUGAUGAAGGGCUUCGGAUCGUAAAACUCUGUUAUUAGGGAAGAACAAAUGUGUAAGUAACUAUGCACGUCUUGACGGUACCUAAUCAGAAAGCCACGGCUAACUACGUGCCAGCAGCCGCGGUAAUACGUAGGUGGCAAGCGUUAUCCGGAAUUAUUGGGCGUAAAGCGCGCGUAGGCGGUUUUUUAAGUCUGAUGUGAAAGCCCACGGCUCAACCGUGGAGGGUCAUUGGAAACUGGAAAACUUGAGUGCAGAAGAGGAAAGUGGAAUUCCAUGUGUAGCGGUGAAAUGCGCAGAGAUAUGGAGGAACACCAGUGGCGAAGGCGACUUUCUGGUCUGUAACUGACGCUGAUGUGCGAAAGCGUGGGGAUCAAACAGG